ensembl:lncRNA
AUUAGUAGUUAAAGGCACCACCAGCACCCAUUCCCCCUUCUCGGUAGUCCCCUCUAGGAGUGAGUAGGAUGAUGGACCUAGCAGAAGCAAAUGAUUCCCAUGGGUCCCAGGCUACGGGCCUGGGCAGAUUUCACCCACAGGCCUGGAGAAGCAGAGCAUCAGGUCUUGAAAGCAAAAGACAAGAGGAAACCAGCCACCUUCCUGAACUAACUAAACCCCAGCCUUGACCAUGACUGAGACAAGCAAGACAUGAGCAUCACCUGGCCAGGAGGGUCCUCAGAGCGCAGAUUAAGAGCAGGAGGUCUGAGUUCAGCUCAUGGGGGUCAAACCCCAUAACUAGCUGGGGGAUGCCGGGCAAACUUCCUUCCUUGUUAAGUUUCAGUUCCCUCUUUUGUAUGAUAAGAUUUCGUGAUGCUUCUUCACAAGACUGUUUGGAAGAUUAAAUGAAACAAUUCAUGGAAACAGAAUGCCUGACACUGAGUGGGUCCUCAGUAUUGGCUUUAAAUACAACCUGAAAUAGAAGAAAAUAGGAGCAUAAACUGAGAGAACCCAAGAGGAAAGGCGUGGAUUCUCUGAUCAUUCAAGUGUGCAAGUGCCCCAUCUGAAUCAUUUUGCUGCUAAAAACACCCUCGUCUCACAGUCCUUCACCACCCAGUUGCACUAGACUGAGGGUUUGAGAUGGCAAGAGCAAUGCUGUGUGGGCCUCAGGAAGUCAAGCAUAUCCAGAACCGGCCACGUAGACCUGGUGUGGCUGUUUUACAUGGGCUCAGACAGACCUGCCAUUAGGAGCAUUCCAGACCAGAGCUCAGCUGCUCCGAAGAGCAAUAAUUAAAUCAGCAGACUGUGACGUCUGCUUUGGGUUCCUUUCACACCUGUCUGUCAGCGGGAUUACUGGCUAAAAGAAAGUCUUGGCUGGGCCCAGACUGGCGGAUUCUUUACAACAGAGCCACCUGGGAAGCCACGUCAAGAUGUACCACACUUUAUUUAUCCACCCACCUACUGAAGGACAUCUGGACUGCUUCCAAGUUUGGCAAUUAUAAAUAAAGCUGCUAUCAACCUCCACGUGCAGGUUUUUGUAUGGAAAUACGUUUCCAAUUCAUCUGGGUAAAUACCAAAAAGCACAACUGUGGGUCAUAUGGUUGCUAUAACUUUUCUGAGCCUCAUCAUCAUGAUGUUUGAUUGAGCUACUGCACAUGAAAGAGCACAGCAUCCAGCACACAGGCAGGGCUCAACUAGUGGGAGCUUUGUCUGUUACUCUACUCAACUGUCAGUGAAAUCACCAAUGCUUGGGUGUGAAUCCAAGCACUGUCUGAGGCGGAUGACAUAUGGGUGCAUCAUUUGUCGUGGAUCGUCUCUCUAGAGUCCAACAAGGCACAGAGCAACACAAGAUGCCGGAAGGCUACUGGACUGAGGACCACCGCCACUGAAGAGGGAUGUGGCAGCCUCCUGCACUGUGGGAAGACAGGAGGAAACAGCCUCGAGAGAGGCUCUCGGGAAGCUCCAGCACAUAUCUCUGGUGGCCUCUCUUCCCAGGGCUCACAGGCUGCCACCCUGUUCUGCUACCCACAACACCUUGGGCUCACACCCCCUGAGGACCCACUAUCCACAGCAAGGCUCAACCGCAGCUCCAGUGCCCCACUUCAUGCUGCAGUGCGAAAGUCCUAACUGGAGCCCUGGGUACAUCUGGAUCAAGUUAAUUACAAAACAAGACAUACAUGGGAAUAGCCAAGCAGUCCCACUGAAAGCACAGGCAAGAAGCCGUUCAUCCCAACAGUUGUGACUGCGCCCAGACUCCUAUGUUCCUGCUGGGAGUCUGAGCACAUCCUGUCGAACAUGUCUGCAAAAACAACCCUUGUUAUGCUAAUCUCAGCCCUGUUUAUGAUGGUAAAACUUCUUGGGAGCAAGCCAAAUGUCAAGAUUGGGGGAUUCAUUAAAUAAACCAUGGUGCUAUCCA